rnacentral:rRNA from 1 species
CGCGUAGGCGGUCUCGUAAGUCAGAUGUGAAAGCCCGGGGCUCAACCCCGGAAGUGCAUUUGAAACUAUGAGACUUGAGUAUGGGAGAGGGAAGUGGAAUUCCUGGUGUAGAGGUGAAAUUCGUAGAUAUCAGGAGGAACACCGGUGGCGAAGGCGACUCCCUGGACCAAUACUGACGCUGAGGCGCGAAGGCGUGGGGAGCGAACAGGAUUAGAUACCCUGGUAGUCC